rnacentral:tRNA from 1 species
GCUCCUAAAGCAUUGUUGGUGAUGCAGUUGCCUUAUAAGCAUCUGAACCGGGUUCGAUUCCUAGUGGGAGCACCA